rnacentral:rRNA from 1 species
CCGGUUGAUCCUGCCGGAGGCUACCGCUAUUGGAGUUCGAUUAAGCCAUGCGAGUCCAGAGCUUUCGGAGCUCGGCGUACCGCUCAGUAACACGUGGGUAACCUAACCUAUGCAGGGGAAUAACCUCGGGAAACUGAGAAUAAUGCCCCAUAGUCCACUACGCCUGGAACGGUGAGUGGAUGAAAGCUCAGGCGGCAUAGGAUGGGCCUGCGGCGUAUCAGGUUGUAGGGGGUGUAAAGUACCCUCUAGCCCUCUACGCGUACGGGUGUUGGGAGACAUAGCCCGGAGAUGGAUUCUGAGACACGAAUCCAGACCCUACGGGGUGCAGCAGGCGCGAAAACUUGGCAAUGCGAGCAAUCGUGACCAGGGAACUCCAAGUGGCUGGGGUAAGACCCAGUCUUUUCAGAACUCUUCAAAGGUUUUAGAAUAAGGGGUGGGUAAGGACGGUGCCAGCCGCCGCGGUAAUACCGGCGCCUCAAGUGGUAGUCGCUUUUAUUGGGCCUAAAACGUCCGUAGCCGGUCUGAUACAUUCGUGGGUAAAUCAACCAGCUUAACUGGUUGAAUUCUGCGAGGACGGUCAGACUUGGGACCGGGAGAGGUGUGGGGUACGCUCAGGGUAGGGGUAAAAUCCUGUCAUCCUGAGCGGACCACCUGUUGCGAAGGCGCCACACUAGAACGGAUCCGACGGUCAGGGACGAAGCCUAGGGGCACGAACCGGAUUAGAUACCCGGGUAGUCCUAGGUGUAAACGCUGUGGACUUGAUGUUGGGGGUGCUCCGAGCACUCUCAGUGUCGAAGCGAAGGUGAUAAGUCCACUGCCUGGGAAGUACGGUCGCAAGGCUGAAACUUAAAGGAAUUGGCGGGGGAGCACCGCAACCUGAGGAUUGUGCGGUUUAAUUGGAUUCA